GUUAACCAGGUAGCUGAGGGUUCUGGUGUUAACAAUAGCGUACAGGAGCUUCCAGGGGAGCCUGGUACCUCUGAAGGAGGGAGAGUGAAAAGAGCUUUGAAAAGAAGACAUCUUGGCCAACCUCAUCAGUCAGAAGGAGUUCCUCCCGUGAAGAAAUCAAAAAAAC